CCUACGGGAGGCAGCAGUGGGGAAUUUUGGACAAUGGGCGCAAGCCUGAUCCAGCAAUGCCGCGUGAGUGAAGAAGGCCUUCGGGUUGUAAAGCUCUUUUGUCAGGGAAGAAACGGUGGGAGCUAAUAUCUCCCGCUAAUGACGGUACCUGAAGAAUAAGCACCGGCUAACUACGUGCCAGCAGCCGCGGUAAUACGUAGGGUGCAAGCGUUAAUCGGAAUUACUGGGCGUAAAGCGUGCGCAGGCGGUUUUGUAAGUCUGUCGUGAAAGCCCCGGGCUCAACCUGGGAAUUGCGAUGGAGACUGCAAGGCUUGAAUCUGGCAGAGGGGGGUAGAAUUCCACGUGUAGCAGUGAAAUGCGUAGAGAUGUGGAGGAACGCCGAUGGCGAAGGCAGCCCCCUGGGUCAAGAUUGACGCUCAUGCACGAAAGCGUGGGGAGCAAACAGGAUUAGAUACCCUGGUAGUCCACGCCCUAAACGAUGUCUACUAGUUGUCGGGUUUUAAUUAACUUGGUAACGCAGCUAACGCGUGAAGUAGACCGCCUGGGGAGUACGGUCGCAAGAUUAAAACUCAAAUGAAUUGACCGGNGUGAGACGAGACGAGGACGACGACGAGGGAGGAGG
rnacentral:rRNA from 1 species